GAUGAACGCUGGCGGCGUGCCUAAUACAUGCAAGUCGAGCGAACGGACGAGAAGCUUGCUUCUCUGAUGUUAGCGGCGGACGGGUGAGUAACACGUGGAUAACCUACCUAUAAGACUGGGAUAACUUCGGGAAACCGGAGCUAAUACCGGAUAAUAUUUUGAACCGCAUGGUUCAAAAGUGAAAGACGGUCUUGCUGUCACUUAUAGAUGGAUCCGCGCUGCAUUAGCUAGUUGGUAAGGUAACGGCUUACCAAGGCAACGAUGCAUAGCCGACCUGAGAGGGUGAUCGGCCACACUGGAACUGAGACACGGUCCAGACUCCUACGGGAGGCAGCAGUAGGGAAUCUUCCGCAAUGGGCGAAAGCCUGACGGAGCCACGCCGCGUGAGUGAUGAAGGUCUUCGGAUCGUAAAACUCUGUUAUUAGGGAAGAACAUAUGUGUAAGUAACUGUGCACAUCUUGACGGUACCUAAUCAGAAAGCCACGGCUAACUACGUGCCAGCAGCCGCGGUAAUACGUAGGUGGCAAGCGUUAUCCGGAAUUAUUGGGCGUAAAGCGCGCGUAGCGGUUUUUUAGUCUGAUGUGAAAGCCCACGGCUCAACCGUGGAGGGUCAUUGGAAACUGGAAAACUUGAGUGCAGAAGAGGAAAGUGGAAUUCCAUGUGUAGCGGUGAAAUGCGCAGAGAUAUGGAGGAACACCAGUGGCGAAGGCGACUUUCUGGUCUGUAACUGACGCUGAUGUGCGAAAGCGUGGGGAUCAAACAGGAUUAGAUACCCUGGUAGUCCACGCCGUAAACGAUGAGUGCUAAGUGUUAGGGGGUUUCCGCCCCUUAGUGCUGCAGCUAACGCAUUAAGCACUCCGCCUGGGGAGUACGACCGCAAGGUUGAAACUCAAAGGAAUUGACGGGGACCCGCACAAGCGGUGGAGCAUGUGGUUUAAUUCGAAGCAACGCGAAGAACCUUACCAAAUCUUGACAUCCUUUGACAACUCUAGAGAUAGAGCCUUCCCCUUCGGGGGACAAAGUGACAGGUGGUGCAUGGUUGUCGUCAGCUCGUGUCGUGAGAUGUUGGGUUAAGUCCCGCAACGAGCGCAACCCUUAAGCUUAGUUGCCAUCAUUAAGUUGGGCACUCUAAGUUGACUGCCGGUGACAAACCGGAGGAAGGUGGGGAUGACGUCAAAUCAUCAUGCCCCUUAUGAUUUGGGCUACACACGUGCUACAAUGGACAAUACAAAGGGCAGCGAAACCGCGAGGUCAAGCAAAUCCCAUAAAGUUGUUCUCAGUUCGGAUUGUAGUCUGCAACUCGACUACAUGAAGCUGGAAUCGCUAGUAAUCGUAGAUCAGCAUGCUACGGUGAAUACGUUCCCGGGUCU
rnacentral:rRNA from 1 species